CCAGCACCCCGAGUGGUCGGGACGAUUAUUGGGCCUAAAGCAUCCGUAGCCGGUUUUACAAGUCCUCCGUUAAAUCCAACUGCUUAACAGAUGGGCCGCGGAGGAUACUAUAAGACUAGGAGGCAGGAGAGGCAAGCGGUACUCAGUGGGUAGGGGUAAAAUCCGUUGAUCCAUUGAAGACCACCAGUGGCGAAGGCGGCUUGCCAGAAUGCGCUCGACGGUGAGGGAUGAAAGCUGGGGGGAGCAAACCGGAUUAGAUACCCGGGUAGUCCCAGCUGUAAACGACGCAGACUCGGUGAUGGACUAGCUUUAUGCUAGUCCAGUGCCGCAGGGAAGCCGUUAAGUCUGCCGCCUGGGUAGUACGGUCGCAAGACUG
rnacentral:rRNA from 1 species